rnacentral:rRNA from 1 species
UACAGAGGGUGCAAGCGUUAAUCGGAAUUACUGGCGUAAAGCGUGCGCAGUCGGUUAUUUAAGUCGGGCGUGAAAGCCCCGGGCUCAACCUGGGAAUUGCGUUCGAGUACUGGAUAGCUAGAGUUCGGGAGAGGGAUGCGGAAUUCCAGGUGUAGCGGUGAAAUGCGUAGAUAUCAGGAGGAACACCGAUGGCGAAGGCAGGUCUCUGGGCCACUACUGACGCUGAGAAGCGAAGACAUGGGGAGCGAACAGG